CUUAAUAUGGAAAUCUGACCGUGAUUUAUCCAGUCAUAUAUCAUGCUAUUAGUACAUUUUAAUUAAUUUAAUUAAUUAAAUAAAACCAGUAUAAUUACCACUUGAGUAGAUAUUUCAUCCGAUUGGUAGAUAGUCUCAGGAACUUAUUUGGAUGUCUGUAGGUGCAUGAGUUAUGGUAAAAGGUGGUGUUGGUUAGAAAGUCAGUUAAAAUUCUAAGUGUUAGAGUUUUAAGAGUAGAGUGUUAGUCUCAGAUGUUGUCCUGGGUUUCUCUGCAUGUCCGAGUUGGAGUCCCCAAACUUCCAAUUCCUCUCUCCCUUUUUCCUUCUCUCAACUCUCUUUGUCUUAACUUUUAAAGGGAAAAUUCACUAGUUGCUAGACCAAUAGAAACACUGGGGGUGUGGUUAUCUUCCAGAUCGCAAUUUAGUUAUUUAAUCUAUAUAGGGCAGUCUUGUCCCACUAAACAUACCUAUCCAGGAAAGAGUUAACUUUUCUUGGUGGCUAUUCUGACGUCAUUUCUGCCAUAACUUACUUUUCCUUUCACUUCAAAGGGUUUUCUCUUAGUUUUGUCCAGACUUAGUGUCCGCAAUUCCUGCUAUAAUUUCUGAUAUGGCAGUUCAUGAACUAAGUUUCACCUUAAAUUUACAAUGGGGUCUUGUACAUAUAAAUUUUAUUAUUUAAUCUUCUCUGUCACAAAUGUCUGGGUUUAGAAUUGAUUAUAUUCCAUUAGCAUUUUAGACAGUCUAUCCAACCCCCGUUCUCCUUAUCACUUGGUUUGUAUAUACUAUGCAUUCCUUUCCUGCUCUGGGAAAGUGGUUAGUUUUACAGAGAGAAAUCUUGUGUCAUUUUGUUAGCUUGAAAAUAACAAAAUGGAGUCUGCUCUGUUCAAAAGUGACUCCGCAUAUACACUUUUAAUUUCUAUCAUAGCACAAGAUGUCUUCCGAUAUAAAUACCCUGACAGCCCCCCAGUCGAUUUAUAUAGCGAACUGCCGACACAUUGUCCAUGCGAAGGAGGAUGCAGCAGUUGGAUCUCUUCCGAGCAAGGCUGCCGAUCGCAAAGGAGCCCGCCAGUAGUUCCAGACAAUUUAUGUGCAUCGUGAGCUCCUGCGUUGUCCACACACCCCCUGUGGACAUUGUUCCGCUGGUCGCACCCCAGCCCCAUAAGCUGGCGUCAGACUCCAGGAUAACGUCCGGUGUGUCUCUCUAAAUAUGGCCUUGCCGUCCCAGGCUUGCAUGCUGUCUAGCCACCAAAUCAGUUCCUGGCGAACUUCCGGUGUCACCGAUACGGGCUGGUCAUAUGUGGGCUUCUGACGGAGACACUUUGUCUUGAGGUGUUGGAUCGCUCUGUAGUGCAGGGGGCCCAGAAAUGGCUCUUGCGACCCAUUUUUGACUCUCCACAAGUUUAAAGGGAUAAUCCAGACGUGGACCCCUUGCUCACGGUGCCUAGGGAGAUAUCAGCUAUGCCUCACUGAUGAUGCCUAACAAGGCUGAAACGAUCGUCUGGGGUUGCUGUAUCUCUCGUGCAGAGAGAACUUGCUGGUAUUUCGGAUCUGGACUGCCCAUGUGGGUGGGACCAGUCUGAUAUGCUUCAGAUAUGUUCUCUCUGUAAUGGCACAAGAUGAGUAAAAAUCAGCUUGAGAACUGAGCGGGGACCGACCGAAGGGCAGGCUAUUUCAGCUGCUGCCCGUUCUCAGUAUUCUCUUGCGACCCAUUUUUGACUCUCCACAAGUUUAAAGGGAUAAUCCAGACGUGGACCCCUUGCUCACGGUGCCUAGGGAGAUAUCAGCUAUGCCUCACUGAUGAUGCCUAACAAGGCUGAAACGAUCGUCUUGGGGUUGCUGUAUCUCUCGUGCAGAGAGAACUUGCUGGUAUUUCGGAUCUGAACUGCCCAUAUGGGUGGGACCAGUCUGAUAUGCUUCAGAUAUGUUCUCUCUGUAAUGGCACAAGAUGAGCAAAAAUCAGCUUGAGAACUGAGCGGGGACCGACCGAAGGGCAGGCUAUUUCAGCUGCUGCCCGUCCUCAGUAUUCUCUUGUGACCCAUUUUUGACUCUCCACAAGUUUAAAGGGAUAAUCCAGACGUGGACCCCUUGCUCACGGUGCCUAGGGAGAUAUCAGCUAUGCCUCACUGAUGAUGCCUAACAAGGCUGAAACGAUCGUCUGGGGUUGCUGUAUCUCUCGUGCAGAGAGAACUUGCUGGUAUUUCGGAUCUGGACUGCCCAUAUGGGUUGGACCAAUCUGAUAUGCUUCAGAUAUGUUCUCUCUGUAAUGGCACAAGAUGAGCAAAAAUCAGCUUGAGAACUGAGCGGGGACCGACCGAAGGGCAGGCUAUUUUAGCUGCUGCCCGUCCUCAGUAUUCUCUUACGACCCAUUUUUGAUGGCCCAGAAAUAUAGCCUGUAUGGAUGCGGAAAGGUGUCCCACGAUUCUGGCCAAGUUGCGCAGAGGGAUGGACUCGCAGCGGAGGACCCUGCGGAUCUCCUUCUGAAUAGACGAGAUCUUUGAUGGUAGUCUCAGUGCAGGACGUGGAAUCGAUAUCGAAUCCUAGAAAUUGAAUCGACCGAGAUGGACUCAUUGCCGAUUUUGUUCGGUUUACGACGAAACCCAGGGAUUCCAACAGUUCCACGGUGAAACAAGUGUGUUCUCACCGUCUGAACUCCUCGGAGCAGAAGAGAAGAAUGUCGUCCAGGUAGAUAAUGCAGCGGAUGCCCCUGGAGCCUAGGUGGGCAAUCACCGGUUUUAGGAGCUUGGUGAAACACCAUGGGGCAGAGCUGAGUCCAAAAGGGAGGCAGGUGAAUUGCCACGGUAGGCCGUGCCAUAGGAAUCGCAGGAGUGGACAACAGUCCGGGUGCACCGGGACUGACAGGUAGGCGUCCUUUAGGUUUAGCCUUGUGAACCAGUCGUGGUCUCGGAGGAGGUCCCGAAGGAGAUGGAUGUCCUCCAUUUUGAAGUGGCGAUACAUGACGUGUGCGUUGAGGUCUCGCAAAUUGAUUACUGGUCAGAAUUCACCCGUCUUUUUCCGGACCAGAAAAUAUUGCUGAAGAAACCUCAGAAAUCGAUGGCCAGUUGGAUGGCCCCUUUGUCCCGCAGUUCCUGGAGUUCCACGUCGAUGAGACGGCGGUCAUGGGCCGAGAAGUAAAUAGGGCGUGGUAGAGCACCCUGCGCUGGGGUUCCCACGAGGUCUAUUCGGUAUCCCUCAACUGUCUGCAGGAUCCACAAAUCCGAGGAAAGAUCUGCCCAAUUCUGGAAAAAAAGGGAAAUACGGCCCACAGUGCGGGUGGUUAAACUGUAGGGAGCAUGUAUGCCUACCUGGGGUGAAGCGGGAACGUCUACGUCCGCGACCUCUAGUCGAGCCUCUUGCGUAGGAGAACUGUGGCCUGUAAUCCCUUGCUGGGUAGAAUGGUGGAGGUUGGGUGGAGCGGGGGCCUGGUGGCACGGUGGCACGACCCCUCUGUCGACCAGCCCUUCCAAAAAAAAAAAACCCUCAUGGGGUUACCUCUGAAGACUUUGCACAUAGAGGAUUGCGCUUUGUUGAGGGACGUAAAUACGUUAUAUUCUUAUUCAGUUCCUUGAGGAACGCUUCUCCAAACAACAUUCCUUGUGCCUGGGGCCCUAUUUCCUUAGUGCCCAGUUCUGACAAUUUUCCGUCUAUGCGGAAUACAGGGAGUGCAGAAUUAUUAGGCAAGUUGUAUUUUUGAGGAUUAAUUUUAUUAUUGAACAACAACCAUGUUCUCAAUGAACCCAAAAAACUCAUUAAUAUCAAAGCUGA